rnacentral:rRNA from 1 species
CAGCCGCCGCGGGAAUACGGAGGGUGCAAGCGUUAAUCGGAAUUACUGGGCGUAAAGCGCACGCAGGCGGUCUGACAAGUCAGAUGUGAAAUCUCCGGGCUUAACCUGGGAACUGCAUUUGAAACUGUCAGGCUGGAGUCUUGUAGAGGGGGGUGGAAUUCCAGGUGUAGCGGUGAAAUGCGUAGAGAUCUGGAGGAAUACCGAUGGCGAAGGCAGCCAUCUGGACUAAUACUGACGCUGAGGUACGAAAGCAUGGGGAGCAAACAGGAUUAGAUACCCCGGUAGUCCCUGUCUCUUAUAC